UUUUUGUGGAGGGUUUGAUUCUGGCUCAGGAUGAACGCUGGCGGCGUGCUUAACACAUGCAAGUCGAACGGGAUCCGCCAAGCUUGCUUGGCGGUGAGAGUGGCGAACGGGUGAGUAAUGCGUGACCAACCUGCCCCGUGCUUCGGAAUAGCUCCUGGAAACGGGUGGUAAUGCCGGAUGCUCCGCACUGUCGCAUGAUGGUGCGGGAAAGGGUUUACCGGCAUGGGAUGGGGUCGCGUCCUAUCAGCUUGUUGGCGGGGUGAUGGCCUGCCAAGGCUUCGACGGGUAGCCGGCCUGAGAGGGCGACCGGCCACAUUGGGACUGAGAUACGGCCCAGACUCCUACGGGAGGCAGCAGUGGGGAAUAUUGCACAAUGGGCGAAAGCCUGAUGCAGCGACGCCGCGUGCGGGAUGACGGCCUUCGGGUUGUAAACCGCUUUUGAUUGGGAGCAAGCGAGAGUGAGUGUACCUUUCGAAUAAGCACCGGCUAACUACGUGCCAGCAGCCGCGGUAAUACGUAGGGUGCAAGCGUUAUCCGGAUUUAUUGGGCGUAAAGAGCUCGUAGGCGGUUCGUCGCGUCUGGUGUGAAA
rnacentral:rRNA from 1 species